UAGCGGCGAACGGGUGAGGAACACGUGAGGAAUCUGCCUUCAACACUGGGAUAACUCCGGGAAACCGGGGCUAAUACCGGAUACGAGCCUUGAUCGCAUGAUCGAGGCUGGAAAGUUUUUCGGUUGAAGAUGACCUCGCGGCCUAUCAGCUUGUUGGUGAGGUAAUGGCUCACCAAGGCGACGACGGGUAGCCGGCCUGAGAGGGCGACCGGCCACACUGGGACUGAGACACGGCCCAGACUCCUACGGGAGGCAGCAGUGGGGAAUAUUGGGCAAUGGAGGAAACUCUGACCCAGCGACGCCGCGUGCGGGAUGAAGGCCUUCGGGUUGUAAACCGCUUUCAGUAGGGAAGAAGCGAAAGUGACGGUACCUACAGAAGAAGCACCGGCUAACUAUGUGCCAGCAGCCGCGGUAAUACAUAGGGUGCAAGCGUUGUCCGGAAUUAUUGGGCGUAAAGAGCUCGUAGGUGGUUUGAUACGUCGGGUGUGAAAUUCAGGGGCUCAACCCCUGACCUGCAUUCGAUACGGUCAAGCUAGAGUUUGGUAGGGGAGACUGGAAUUCCUGGUGUAGCGGUGGAAUGCGCAGAUAUCAGGAGGAACACCGAUGGCGAAGGCAGGUCUCUGGGCCAAUACUGACACUGAGGAGCGAAAGCGUGGGGAGCGAACAGGAUUAGAUACCCUGGUAGUCCACGCCGUAAACGGUGGGCGCUAGUUGUGCGAACCUUCCACGGUUUGUGCGACGCAGCUAACGCAUUAAGCGCCCCGCCUGGGGAGUACGAUCGCAAGAUUAAAACUCAAAGGAAUUGACGGGGCCCCGCACAAGCAGCGGAGCAUGCGGCUUAAUUCGACGCAACGCGAAGAACCUUACCAAGGC
rnacentral:rRNA from 1 species